rnacentral:tRNA from 1 species
AGGAAAGUAGUUAAUAAUAACAUUUAUUUUGCAAAUAAAAAGUAUUGAAAUUCAAUCUUUCUUA